rnacentral:lncRNA from 1 species
UACAUGUAUGAUUGGACGUGAGCCUGAAUCAUACGGUUAGCUAUGACGUCUUGUGUUUGUUUCAGAUGAAUACCUGCAUCAUGGAAAUAUUGUAGAUCUAAUUUGUAAACUGUCGUGGAACCUGUGUUCGGCUCGCACAUUUCCUGUUCAACAGGAAUGCAUGAUGGAGACCAACAGUACAGAAAGGUGAAGAAGUAAACUGAUCCAAAUAAACAAUGGGACAAUGAAUGUUAUAAAUACCAGGAAGAAGACUGCACUUUUAAACAGUUAAAUUAUGAUAUGGUGAAUAAAUACCCUCAAUGCAGCCUUAUGGAGCUUUGGCUAGACCAUGAACAGUAGACAUCAAAAAGAUGCUCAUCUAAAGGGGCGCAAAUGUUCGAAGCAUUAAUCAAAAAAAAAACAAAAAAACUGAACCAUUUGAUGGAUCAUACAGAACGUACAAUCAGAUUUCCAGAAUCAGAGAAAUAGAAGUAUCAAGUGUUAGGGAGAUAGGAAAAUAUGCAUCUUGCAUGAAGCACCUGCCUUAGAUUAAUUUGCAAAAACCAUUGAAAUCUCACAAUUGCUAAUGGAAGUUAAGAAUGGAGUACUCUUCUGGAAAAUAUGUGUCCAGACAAUACUGUAACAACAUUGUUUCUUUUUUAUCAAUUUUCUGAGCAUAAUUCUACAUAAUAAUUAUACAUAAAAAUUGUAACAUGGUUACAUGAAUAAUACAAAACUUGUAAUCAUAUAUCUAUUUUAAGACACAAAUUGGGAGAAUCAGAGAAGAAAUAUCAAGAAUUAGGGAAAAAGAAAUAUAUGUCAUGCAUGAGGAACCUGCUUUAUAUAAAUUUACAAAAUACUUUGAAGCCUCAAAACUGUUAAUGUCAUUAUACAUAUGGAAGAUUAGAAACGUGCAUUUUGAUAAAUCAUCUACUGGCACAAUAUUUUUUUCAAUUCACUGAGCAUAGUUCUACAUAGUUCUACAUAAACAAUGUAUUAACUUAAUAAUCUAGUCUUUGAAAAGGUAUAAGUCUUUCCUACUUGUUUUAUACAAAACGUUUCAUGAUGUUUCAAUGUAAAUGUGCUAUUGCUUUGUCAGUAUUUCUUUUCCAUGAUUGGGUGGAUUUUCAAAUUACUUGGCAGGCUUAUUAAAUAUUAUAUUUCUAUGUGACACAUGCUAGAUUCAAAUGAUAGUCAAGGUCACAAUUAAGUAGUCAAAAACUAAACUUUUUCUGGCUUUAACUUUUUAGCUCACCUGGGCACGAAGUGUUCAAAGGUGAGCUUUUGUGAUCCCCCUGUGUCCGUCGUCUGUCUGUCGUCAACAAUUUGACUGUUAACACUCUAGAGGUCACAAUUUUGG